rnacentral:rRNA from 1 species
UACGUAGGUGGCAAGCGUUGUCCGGAAUUACUGGGCGUAAAGGGCGCGUAGGCGGACAGUUUAGUCAGAGGUGAAAGCCCAGGGCUCAACCUUGGAAUUGCCUUUGAUACUGGCUGUCUUGAGUUCGGGAGAGGUGAGUGGAAUGCCGAGUGUAGAGGUGAAAUUCGUAGAUAUUCGGCGGAACACCAGUGGCGAAGGCGACUCACUGGCCCGAUACUGACGCUGAGGCGCGAAAGCGUGGGGAGCAAACAGG